UACGAAGGGUGCAAGCGUUACUCGGAAUUACUGGGCGUAAAGCGUGCGUAGGCGGUUUGUUAAGUCCGCUGUGAAAGCCCUGGGCUCAACCUGGGAAUUGCAGUGGAUACUGGCAAGCUAGAGUGCGGUAGAGGAUGGUGGAAUUCCCGGUGUAGCGGUGAAAUGCGUAGAGAUGUGGAGGAACACCGAUGGCGAAGGCAGCCCCUGGGCUAACACUGACGCUCAUGCACGAAAGCGUGGGGAGCAAACAGG
rnacentral:rRNA from 1 species